UAGCAAAAUCAUUUAUUUUUUAAUUGAAAAAGGGUAUGAAUGGUUAUACAAUACAAACAAAAAUUAUUUAGAGUAAAAAAAAAACUUUAAUUUUUAGUAAAAAUGCUAAAAUUUAUUAAAGGGACGAUAAGACCCUAAAAGUUUUAAUUAUUAAGUUAAAAUAAGUUUAAUUACUUCUAAUUAAAAUUUUAGCUGGGGAAGCUUUAAAUAAUAUUAUUUAUUUUAAUUAUAAAUUAUAAAGUUUAGUAAUCUUUUUAUAAGAAUUUAUAUAAAAUUACUUUAGGGAUAACAGCAUAAUAAAAUUGAAGAGUCCAUAUCUAUAUUUUUGAUUAUGACCUCGAUGUUGAAUUAAAAAAACUUUUUAAGGAAAAAUGUAAGUAAGUUUGGUUUGUUCAACCAUUAAAAUUUUACAUGAUUU
rnacentral:rRNA from 1 species